UUUCUUUCUGAAGAUCUUGUCUUGGUGAAGCUUUCCCCUGCAAACCUAGGAUCUUCUGAUAUGGAUGUCCUGCUUGCAUGAGGAGAAUGCUGUGAAGAGGCAUAAUCACCGAUAAAUUCAAGGCAAGAUGGUGUAAAGAACAACCUUUCAAAAACCCAGGGAAUGGCGAAACACCGGAAUAACUUCAUGAGAUCAUCCCAGGAUCCUGACUCCAACAAUAGCCAGUAGCAGAUGACCAGUAUCCUGUUUCUGAUGAUAGCCAACAGCAGAUGCCUGGGGAAUAGUGUAAAAGGAAAGUGGGCACGUGCCCAUACAUAUGUCUGCAAGGACUAUUUCUGCAUCAUUCUAUGCAACUGCAAGAGGAAUGAGUACUCUGUAGAUCGUAAGAUGGAUUCUUGUGUCAUUGGUGGUUACAAAUUACAGACGUCACAGGGAAUAGAGAAAAUGGCAGUGGCUUCUUCAUUCUCUGUAAAGAGUAGUGCUAAAUACAUCUUUAUGCAUAAUAGUCUUCUCAUCUCUAGGCUCAGGAAAUUCCUCUGAAAAACUGAAGUUGUUAUUAUUUGGCUCAUUUCUAGCCUUGAAAAUACUUCAGUGGUCUCAGUGCAACCACUAAAGUACUUCUAAGAGGCUAAUGAGUUACAUUUCAUUGCAUUAUUCAAAAAUUGACUUCUCUCAUGCUCUGUGAUAUUAGAUCAAAGUUUUAAGAGAAAGGAUUAAAAAAAAAGCCCAAAUAAUAAUGGGAAAUGAAUUCAUUUUGCAAAUUGUCAUUCCCCAAUAGAACAGGAGUAACAAGUGCAGAAGAACUUCUGUUGCUGAAUUAUCUGCCAGUGGUGGGUGAAUAAAUAUUGUAAAUGUACCUGCAGAAGGGAGAACCUGGAUGAAGUCAUAAACAAGAAAUACCUUUUGGCCUCCUUAUUGCAGAGCAAUUCAAAUUUUAGUUCCUUUUUUGUUAUUGUUGUUGCAACUUAACUCAGAAGGUCAAGAAAUAGAAUGCCAGCAUUCUUAAAUUUCUAUCUAGAUAAUCUUAUUUCUAAUGUACGUGGGAUGAGACCAUCCAGGCACUAAUCAGAUCAAAGAGAGGUGACUACAUAUUUGAUACUUUGUGCAAAGUAAUCUGUCUUACUUUAAAUGUAUUAAGGUUGCAAAAUUGAGUACAGAAGUAAUACAGAAAUCAGGAAGAUCAUUUUUCAUUUCAUCCAUAAUAUGUUGAUUUGAUAUUCAGGGAAGGAAAUAAGGAUAUUAAAAGAUCAGCUUGAAGUGGAUUCUAAAUACAUCUGUAAUAAAGCUGUGAUUAAACAGUAUGCCAUUAAAUAGUACUGUUACCUGCAAUAGUAGAUCUAUUACCUGUAGUUUGCUUGGGAAAUAUGAUUUAGUCUGGUUUGCCCCCAUUUAUGAGGAUGUUACAGUAACAUCUGAGCUGAACUGAGUUGCGAACAACACUAAGCCAAACAAGUUUAACAGAUGUUAUGAUGGUGACCUCACAUUUUGGUCUAGACAGGCUAAUGAAAUGAUUGCAUAACAGAAAGAAACCUCCAAAAUUGGGUAAAAUACAGGUUUUGAUGAAGAUAAAAAAUGAAGCUAUGGGACACAUAGAAAAUUUAGAAAGUAAAUCGAAAUGUGUUCGGUGGAAUGACAGUUUUCAUUGGAAUGUGAUGAGAUCACUUCGGUGGCUGCACCUGCUGGGUAAAAUAGUGUUUGAGUAGAUAUUCAGGCUUAAUAUCUAUAUGAAAAUCUGCUCCUUAGACCAGGGACUCUGUAAACCCAACAAAGACAACCGAAAUGUACAUAUUGACUUUAAACCAAAUCUGUAUCUAAGUGCUCCUUUGCAGGGGUAUUUUCCAAAACUGCUUUUUCCCUGUAUAACAGUAUCAGAGGCAGAAAUAACUGCCAUGGGAAGCUGGUAGUUUUUCGGUGAUUGAAGUUUUCCUUAACAGUUAACCAUGAAAAAAAAAUUCAUCUUGUUCUGAAUUGAGAUGUUCUUAUUUUAUGUCUCUAAUUCAAUUAAUUUGAAAGUGAGAAGAAAAGAGUGGUCUGAUUAUUUUUAUCCUGAUGCCUUGGUCAGUGUUAGAAGCACUAGAAGCAACUUGCAGAAAGGCAAGGUUAGUGAGCAGGCUACAAAAUGCUGGAAAUGCAGCAAGGGCCACAGCUGUGGUUGAUUAUGGUUUCUU
ensembl:lncRNA